rnacentral:rRNA from 1 species
UACGUAGGGUGCAAGCGUUGUCCGGAAUUAUUGGGCGUGAAGAGCUCGUAGGCGGUUUGUUGCGUCGGCUGUGAAAUCCCGAGGCUCAACCUCGGGUCUGCAGUCGAUACGAGCAAACUAGAGUGUUGCAGGGGAGACUGGAAUUCCUGGUGUAGCGGUGAAAUGCGCAGAUAUCAGGAGGAACACCGGUGGCGAAGGCGGGUCUCUGGGCAACAACUGACGCUGAGGAGCGAAAGCGUGGGGAGCGAACAGG